AUUGAACGCUGGCGGCAGGCCUAACACAUGCAAGUCGAGCGAGCGGCGGACGGGUGAGUAAUGUAUGGGGACUGCCCGAUAGAGGGGGAUAAACACAGGAAACGGUGGCUAAUACAGCACAUUGCCGGAUAAUCCAUAUGGGAUUAGCUAGUAGGUAAGGUAAUGGCUUACCUAGGCGACGAUCCCUAGCUGGUCUGAGAGGAUGAUCAGCCACACUGGGACUGAGACACGGCCCAGACUCCUACGGAGGCAGCAGUGGGGAAUAUUGCACAAUGGGCGCAAGCCUGAUGCAGCCAUGCCGCGUGUAUGAAGAAGGCCCUAGGGUUGUAAAGUACUUUCAGUCGGGAGGCGUUACCGACAGAAGAAGCACCGGCUAACUCCGUGCCAGCCGCCGCGGUAAUUC
rnacentral:rRNA from 1 species